rnacentral:rRNA from 1 species
UUUUGGACAAUGGGGGCAACCCUGAUCCAGCCAUGCCGCGUGCGGGAAGAAGGCCUUCGGGUUGUAAACCGCUUUUAGUCGGGAAGAAAAGAUCACUCCUAAUACGGGUGGUUCUUGACGGUACCGGCGGAAUAAGCACCGGCUAACUACGUGCCAGCCGCCGCGGUAAUACGUAGGGUGCGAGCGUUAAUCGGAAUUACUGGGCGUAAAGGGUGCGUAGGCGGUUCGUCGUGUCUGGUGUGAAAUCCCCGGGCUCAACCUGGGAAUGGCAUUGGAAACUGGCGGACUAGAGUGUGGCAGAGGGAGGUGGAAUUCCGCGUGUAGCAGUGAAAUGCGUAGAGAUGCGGAGGAACACCGAUGGCGAAGGCAGCCUCCUGGGCUAACACUGACGCUGAGGCACGAAAGCGUGGGGAGCAAACAGG